UCUUAAACUACUCCCAGCCUUCUGUGGGGAUUCGGUUGGCCAUGUGACUGACUUCCAGACAAGUCAGUGUGGGAGCAAGUGACGCAAGCCCGCGGACUUCAGCGCUGGCCCACGGGCAUCCUCGUGUGGUGUUCAUGCUCUUAUCUCUUCCCCCGAUUUAGGGCAGAGGAGCACGGGAAGCUUGGUCCAGAUGAAGACAGUAGGAGCAGAGAUGGGAGCAGAAGUGGGCGGAGCCACCAAACAGACACCUGUUUGUGCAUUAACACGAAUGAAAAGACGGAAGUAUCAGGAAAAGGAAGCAGGAAAUUAUUUAAGCAAAUUCACUGUUAACUUUUUAUAAGUAAAUCGUGACCCAGGACG